AACGUAGGAGACAAACGUUAUCCGGAGUUACUGGGCGUAAAGGGCGUGUAGGUGGUUUCGUAAGUCUGGCGUGAAAUAUCUCGGCUUAACCGAGGCAGGUCGUCGGAUACUGCGGAACUGGAGGACGGUAGAGGCGUGUGGAAUUCCGGGUGUAGUGGUGAAAUGCGUAGAGAUCCGGAGGAACACCAGUGGCGAAGGCGGCUCUCUGGGCCUUACCUGACGCUGAGGAGCGAAAGCGUGGGUAGCGAACAGG
rnacentral:rRNA from 1 species